GAAAGACUACCCUCCUUCGAAACUUGACCCUACGUAAAACCCUCACUCUUCAUCUUCUCAAAUUAAAAGGACAAAAAAGAAAAAUCCCAAUAAUGUCUUCACCACCACUGCAAGAAGUGGGGGUGAAGAAUCGAUUUUUAGGGUUUCUGAUAUGGCAAUCCAUUACCUCUUCCGCCGUCUUCAUCCUCUUCCAAACUUUGCUUCUCUCACCUCUCACUUACACUAAUUUAGCACCACCAUCGAUCCUUUCCUUUGUUGCUUUCCUAAUUUUUCACCUCUCGCAGCUCUUCUUCACUGCAUCACUCUCUCUACUCUCAUCUCCCCAGCCCUACUCUCCUGCAUCACCAUUACAGCUCGCCGUCUCUCUCCUCCUUUUCCUUUUCGUCUCCAGCGACUCUUUCUCUUCCCGUGAUUUCCGCCGCCGGGCUAAUCUUUCUCUUAGUUUCUUUUUGUUUCUCGUGGCGGCUGCCAUCUCGGGAUUUCUCUCGGUGAUAUGCUUGUGCGGAUGGGCCAACUAUAGCUCUGAUGGAGUGCAGCUGAUCGGAAGAGUUGGGUUUAGGGGUUUUACUUUUGGAUUGCUCUAUGCCUGCUUUUAUAUUUAUAAGCGGCGAUGGGUUUUGGAGUUUCCCAUUAUUCAGCGGCCCCCUUUCUUCAGCUUCAAAAUGAAUCUUCCUUCAGCCAUUAAACAAGCUUUAAAGCUUUCGAGCACAGCUUACCUAUUUUCAGCAGUGCUGCUUGUGUUUCUUCCAAAUCAGUUUAAGAGUUAUGUAACAAUGAAGAACUUUAUCAUUGAGCAGAUCAUCCUAUACUUUGGGAGCUUUUCUGUGUUCCUCUGUUGGGAAUUAAGUCACCAUUUACAUCAGGUCCUACAUACAAAAAGGUUCAUAUUUGCACCGCCAAAAGGAUCAGCAGCAGCAGAAACAAAUCCCAGUGAGCCACUUCUAUCAGCUUUGGAGGAGAGCAGCCCAGGUUCUCUUCCACAGUUUCUUGCAUAUCUUGAUCUCUGUAUGGUUUGUGAAAAUAAUGUCGCUACUUGGCGUCGAGCUGCAUUCUUUGAAGAAACUGGCGAGACUUACAAAAGAGUUGUAGCUGUAUGUUUGAGGCCUCUUGAGCAGCUUGCUUCUACUUUGGGUAAAGGCUUUGAAACUCAUUCCGAUGAUAAGACUUACCAACAACACAAUCAAUUGCAGUUACAAACUGAUCCGCAACAAGAUUCAAAGUAUUAUGAAGCCCUGAACAACUUCCAGCAAUGUGCAUGGUGUGCCAGGACGGUUGUGUUCUUAACUGCACGCUCACACAAGGAAGAUAGGUUUGGGGUUGCUCAAUUGUCUGGUAGUAACACUGCUGUUAUCUCAACACUUUUAUCUUGCCUGCUUGCUGUUGAAGCAUUGAUGGGGAAGAAGACAAAUGUGCAUACCCCUCAUCAGUUGAUGGGGCCAGGAGGCAUUAAAUGGGCUACUCUAAACACAGGAAGACGAGAUGUUGCAGUGGCUAAAAAGAGAAGUGGCCCAAUAUAUUCAAAGGCAUAUGCCAUGGCUGAUGUGCUGAAGACCUCAAUUUACUGUAUUAUAUCAGCUUUCCAUGAUGAAAUGCUCACUAGUGACAAAGCAGGCCUUCUUGAAAAGGAUUGGCUUAUCAGUGGUAAACCGCAUUUUGGAUCCCGAGAGCUGCUUUUGCAGAAAUUGCAUCUUUUCCUGGAUUUUAGAGCGAGCUAGCUAUCUAGCUACUUGGGUUCAGAGCUGUCUUCCUAGUUUCCCAUUGCUUCAUUCGCGAAGAAAGCAGCAAUUGCAAGAUUUGCAAAUUUUGUCAACCUGGAGACAACUGCAUGGUUGAAAAAGCAAUUUGAUUCUUUUGCUUUGGAGGUUAAAUGAAAGUUUAACUAUAUGUUAUAUUUCGUGAUUAGUAGAUUAUGCAAUCAAUGGGAUAUUAUACAAAUGUUUAGUUGGUUCAAAUGGUGGGAAUAUGAUGGCAACUGGUACGUUGAGAUAAAAUAGGGUGUUUAAAAAUUUUGGUGUAUCAAUUUAUCCACUUUAUCGAGGCAGGUGAAAGGUGAAUGUCGAAAUGACAGUGGACCUUGUGAUGGAGAAGUAUUAGUUUUGAAUACAUCUUGAUUUUCAACAUUUUGUAUUUU
rnacentral:misc_RNA from 1 species